rnacentral:rRNA from 1 species
GACGAACGCUGGCGGCGUGCUUAACACAUGCAAGUCGAACGGAAAGGCCCUGCUUUUGUGUGGUGCUCGAGUGGCGAACGGGGGAGUAACACGUGAGUAACCUGUCCUUGACUUUGGGAUAACUUCAGGAAACUGGGGCUAAUACCGGAUAUGAGCUCCUGCUGCAUGGGGGUGGUUGGAAAGUUUCGGCGGUUGUGGAUGGACUCGCGGCUUAUCAGCUUGUUUGUGUGGUAGUGGCUUACCAAGGCUUUGACGGGUAGCCGGCCUGAGAGGGUGACCGGCGACAUUGGGACUGAGAUACGGCCCAGACUCCUACGGGAGGCAGCAGUGGGGAAUAUUGCACAAUGGGCGGAAGCCUGAUGCAGAAACGCCGCGUGCGGGAUGACGGCCUUCGGGUUGUAAACCGCUUUCGCCUGUGACGAAGCGUGAGUGACGGUAAUGGGUAAAGAAGCACCGGCUAACUACGUG